AUUGAACGCUGGCGGCAGGCCUAACACAUGCAAGUCGAGGGGUAUUGGUUUUCGGACCAAGAGACCGGCGCACGGGUGCGUAACGCGUAUGCAAUCUACCUUUUGCAGAGGGAUAGCCCAGAGAAAUUUGGAUUAAUACCUCAUAGUAUGUGAGGAUGGCAUCAUUUUCACAUUAAAGUCACAACGGCAAAAGAUGAGCAUGCGUCCCAUUAGCUAGUUGGUAAGGUAACGGCUUACCAAGGCUACGAUGGGUAGGGGUCCUGAGAGGGAGAUCCCCCACACUGGUACUGAGACACGGACCAGACUCCUACGGGAGGCAGCAGUGAGGAAUAUUGGACAAUGGGCGCAAGCCUGAUCCAGCCAUGCCGCGUGCAGGAUGACGGUCCUAUGGAUUGUAAACUGCUUUUAUACAGGAAGAAACACUCCGACGUGUCGGAGCUUGACGGUACUGUAAGAAUAAGGAUCGGCUAACUCCGUGCCAGCAG
rnacentral:rRNA from 1 species